GACGAACGCUGGCGGCGUGCCUAAUACAUGCAAGUUGAGCGCUGAAGGUUGGUACUUGUACCAACUGGAUGAGCAGCGAACGGGUGAGUAACGCGUGGGGAAUCUGCCUUUGAGCGGGGGACAACAUUUGGAAACGAAUGCUAAUACCGCAUAAAAACUUUAAACACAAGUUUUAAGUUUGAAAGAUGCAAUUGCACCACUCAAAGAUGAUCCCGCGUUGUAUUAGCUAGUUGGUGAGGUAAAGGCUCACCAAGGCGAUGAUACAUAGCCGACCUGAGAGGGUGAUCGGCCACAUUGGGACUGGGACACGGCCCAAACUCCUACGGGAGGCAGCAGUAGGGAAUCUUCGGCAAUGGACGAAAGUCUGACCGAGCAACGCCGCGGGAGUGAAGAAGGUUUUCGGAUCGUAAAACUCUGUUGGUAGAGAAGAACGUUGGUGAGAGUGGAAAGCCCAUCAAGUGACGGUAACUACACAGAAAGGGACGGCUAACUACGUG
rnacentral:rRNA from 1 species